rnacentral:rRNA from 1 species
UAAUACGUAGAAGGCGAGCGUUAUCCGGAUUUAUUGGGCGUAAAGAGGGCGUAGGCGGCUUUUCAAGUUCGAUGUAAAAUCUCCCGGCUCAACCGGGAGGGAUCAUUGGAUACUGUUGAGCUAGAGGGCAGUAGAGGGAGGUGGAAUUCCCGGUGUAGUGGUGAAAUGCGUAGAUAUCGGGAGGAACACCAGUGGCGAAGGCGGCCUCCUGGGCUGCUACUGACGCUGAGGCCCGAAAGCGUGGGUAGCGAACAGGAUUAGAUACCCUGGUAGUCCACGCCGUAAACGAUGGAUACUAGGUAUGGGGAGUAUCAACCCUCUCUGUGCCGAAGCUAACGCUUUAAGUAUCCCGCCUGGGGAGUACGGCCGCAAGGCUA